rnacentral:rRNA from 1 species
GACGAACGCUGGCGGCGUGCUUAACACAUGCAAGUCGAACGGAAAGGCCCUGCUUUUGUGGGGUGCUCGAGUGGCGAACGGGUGAGUAACACGUGAGUAACCUGCCCUUGACUUUGGGAUAACUUCAGGAAACUGGGGCUAAUACCGGAUAGGAGCUCCUGCUGCAUGGUGGGGGUUGGAAAGUUUCGGCGGUUGGGGAUGGACUCGCGGCUUAUCAGCUUGUUGGUGGGGUAGUGGCUUACCAAGGCUUUGACGGGUAGCCGGCCUGAGAGGGUGACCGGCCACAUUGGGACUGAGAUACGGCCCAGACUCCUACGGGAGGCAGCAGUGAGGAAUAUUGCACAAUGGGCGGAAGCCUGAUGCAGCAACGCCGCGUGCGGGAUGACGGCCUUCGGGUUGUAAACCGCUUUCGCCUGUGACGAAGCGUGAGUGACAGUAAUGGGUAAAGAAGCACCGGCUAACUACGUG